rnacentral:rRNA from 1 species
CAGUCGCCACGGUAAUACGUAGGUGGCAAGCGUUGUCCGGAAUUAUUGGGCGUAAAGGGCUCGCAGGCGGUUUCUUAAGUCUGAUGUGAAAGCCCCCGGCUCAACCGGGGAGGGUCAUUGGAAACUGGGAAACUUGAGUGCAGAAGAGGAGAGUGGAAUUCCACGUGUAGCGGUGAAAUGCGUAGAGAUGUGGAGGAACACCAGUGGCGAAGGCGCCUCUCUGGUCUGUAACUGACGCUGAGGAGCGAAAGCGUGGGGAGCGAACAGGAUUAGAUACCCCCGUAGUCCCUGUCUCUUAUAC